GCGGACGUAGUUUAGUGGUAAAACCCCAGCCUUCCAAGCUGGCUUUGUGGGUUCGAUUCCCAUCGUCCGCUCCA
rnacentral:tRNA from 1 species